rnacentral:rRNA from 1 species
GACGAACGCUGGCGGCGUGCUUAACACAUGCAAGUCGAACGGAAAGGCCCUGCUUUUGUGGGGUGCUCGAGUGGCGAACGGGUGAGUAACACGUGAGUAACCCGCCCUUGACUUUGGGAUAACUUCAGGAAACUGGGGCUAAUACCGGAUAGGAGCUCCUGCUGCAUGGUGGGGGUUGGAAAGUUUCGGCGGUUGGGGAUGGACUCGCGGCUUAUCAGCUUGUUGGUGGGGUAGUGGCUUACCAAGGCUUUGACGGGUAGCCGGCCUGAGAGGGUGACCGGCCACAUUGGGACUGAGAUACGGCCCAGACUCCUACGGGAGGCAGCAGUGGGGAAUAUUGCACAAUGGGCGGAAGCCUGAUGCAGCAACGCCGCGUGCGGGAUGACGGCCUUCGGGUUGUAAACCGCUUUCGCCUGUGACGAAGCGUGAGUGACGGUAAUGGGUAAAGAAGCACCGGCUAACUACGUGCCAGCAGCCGCGGUGAUACGUAGGGUGCGAGCGUUGUCCGGAUUUAUUGGGCGUAAAGGGCUCGUAGGUGGUUGAUCGCGUCGGAAGUGUAACCUUGGGGCUUAACCCUGAGCGUGCUUUCGAUACGGGUCGACUUGAGGAAGGUAGGGGAGAAUGGAAUUCCUGGUGGAGCGGUGGAAUGCGCAGAUAUCAGGAGGAACACCAGUGGCGAAGGCGGUUCUCUGGGCCUUUCCUGACGCUGAGGAGCGAAAGCGUGGGGAGCGAACAGGCUUAGAUACCCUGGUAGUCCACGCUGUAAACGGUGGGUACUAGGUGUGGGGUCCAUUCCACGGGUUCCGUGCCGUAGCUAACGCUUUAAGUACCCCGCCUGGGGAGUACGGCCGCAAGGCUAAAACUCAAAGGAAUUGACGGGGCCCCGCACAAGCGGCGGAGCAUGCGGAUUAAUUCGAUGCAACGCGUAGAACCUUACCUGGGUUUGACAUGGAUCGGGAGCGCUCAGAGAUGGGUGUGCCUCUUUUGGGGUCGGCUCACAGGUGGUGCAUGGCUGUCGUCAGCUCGUGUCGUGAGAUGUUGGGUUAAGUCCCGCAACGAGCGCAACCCUUGUUCACUGUUGCCAGCACGUUAUGGUGGGGACUCAGUGGAGACCGCCGGGGUCAACUCGGAGGAAGGUGGGGAUGACGUCAAGUCAUCAUGCCCCUUAUGUCCAGGGCUUCACGCAUGCUACAAUGGCUGGUACAGAGAGUGGCGAGCCUGUGAGGGUGAGCGAAUCUCGGAAAGCCGGUCUCAGUUCGGAUUGGGGUCUGCAACUCGACCUCAUGAAGUCGGAGUCGCUAGUAAUCGCAGAUCAGCAACGCUGCGGUGAAUACGUUCCUGGGGCUUGUACACACCGCCCGUCAAGUCAUGAAAGUUGGUAACACCCGAAGCCGGUGGCCUAACCGUUGUGGGGGAGCCGUCGAAGGUGGGACUGGUGAUUAGGACU